AGGAGGGACAGCCCUAGUGGCGGGGCCAGCUCUGGAGCCCUGGAUUCAGCCCCCGCAGGAACUCCGGAGCUCUCCGUCUGCAGGGCCUGGAGGUUCCCGGGCGGG
rfam:Canis lupus familiaris chromosome 13, whole genome shotgun sequence.